rnacentral:lncRNA from 1 species
AAUCUGGGACCCCGAGCCAGGCCUGUCCCAAGUCCUCCCGGGCCCGCCAGCCCGCGGCCCCUUACCUUGGCCUGGCAUUUCCGAUGACAGGAGAAGCUGCAGACUGCAAGAGGGCGAGACACAGAAAGAAAGUUUUAGCCGCGAGGCUGGAGUGCAAUGGCGCAAUCUCGGCUCACCACAACCUCCGCCUCCCAGGUUCAAGCAAUUCUCCUGCCUCAGCCUCCCAAGUAGCUGGGAUUACAGGCACGCACCACCAUGCCCGGGUAAGGGGCUGGCUCUCAGCACCAGGACCUGGCACAGCAUCUGACCCAGAGGACAGCUCAGUUCAUGAUUGCCAGAUGGCUGCACGCAGCGCGGAGGAGAGCCCCCUGGGUCUGAAAUAGAGGCUGGAGAGGAGGACUGUGAGUCCAGAGGAGGGAGAGUGAUGGUAUCCCACACACAAGCCAGCGUGUCUAGGACUCCUAUCUGAAGACACUGCAGAGUGAUCAAAGUUAACAUCACUGCAACGGUAAUGGGAUGAUGAAGCCAAGCUGGGAGCAGGGGUGCACUGAGAACAGACGCCGCUUCUGCGGUAUCCCUGCCAGAAAGCCUCAACCUGAACCUAAUCAUGAGGAAACAUCAGGCCAACCCAAACUAAGGGACAACCUACACAUUAAACGUCUUGGAAUCUCCGAAAGUGACAAGGUCAUGAAAAUCAAGGAAAGGCUGAGGAGCUUUCCAGACUGAAGGCAGCAAAAAGACUUGGCAACCGAAAGUAACGGCGGCUUCUGAACCAGAUUCUGUUGAUGCCCACAAGGACAUCACUGGGACCACUGGCGGGACUUCCCUGGGUCUAGACUGAAUGGUAUUAAAGUAUCCAUGUCAAUUUCCUGAUUUUGAUAGCGGGGCUGGUCAGGUAAGAGAGUCCUUGUAGAAAAAUCAGGAAAGUAUUUAACGGUGGUGGGGCAUCAUGUCAGCAACUUACUCUCAGAGUUCUGGAG